UGGGGAAUUUUGGACAAUGGGCGAAAGCCUGACGCAGCAACGCCGCGUGAGGGAAGAAGGCUUUCGGGUUGUAAACCUCUUUCAGGAGGGACGAAGCUUCCGGGGUUAAUAGCCUACGGGGUGACGGUACCUCCAGAAGAAGCCCCGGCUAACUACGUGCCAGCAGCCGCGGUAAUACGUAGGGGGCAAGCGUUGUCCGGAAUCAUUGGGCGUAAAGCGCGUGUAGGUGGCUUGGUAAGUCCGGUGUGAAACCUUGGGGCUCAACCCCAAGCCUGCAUCGGAUACUGCCUCGCUCGAGUUCGGAGGGGAGAGCGGAAUUCCUAGUGUAGCGGUGAAAUGCGCAGAUAUUAGGAAGAACACCGGUGGCGAAGGCGGCUCUCUGGAACGAUACUGACACUGAGACGCGAAAGCGUGGGUAGCGAACAGGAUUAGAUACCCCCGUAGUCCCUGAGCGGGCUGGCAAGGCGCAU
rnacentral:rRNA from 1 species